UGAGACUCUGUGCGCGUGCAUAUCAAUAAGCGGAGGAAAAGAAACUAACAAGGAUUCCCCUAGUAACGGCGAGUGAAGCGGGAAGAGCUCAAAUUUGAAAUCUUAAAGGGUUUCCCUUUACGAAUUGUAGUUUAAAGAAGUGUUUUCUGUUGGAGUUUCGGUAAAAGUUCUUUGGAAUAGGACAUCAUAGAGGGUGAGAAUCCCGUAUUUGGUCAUUCCUCCUAGCGUUGUGAUACACUUUCAACGAGUCGGAUUGUUUGGGAAUGCAGUCCAAAAUGGGUGGUAAAUUUCAUCUAAAGCUAAAUAUUGGCGAGAGACCGAUAGCGAACAAGUACCGUGAGGGAAAGAUGAAAAGAACUUUGAAAAGAGAGUUAAACAGUACGUGAAAUUGUCAAAAGGGAAGCGUUUGACACCAGUGUUGUUUUUCCGAAAAUCAAUUACGAAUGUUUUAUUUUUGAGGAGUUAUGACUUCAUCGGCUUGCUUCCUUUCUUUACUGAAACUUUCUUAAUGCACUUUUCGGUUAACAAGUCAACAUCAAUUUCUUUUGUUGUAAAAGGGUAUGAGGAAGGUGGCUUUCUUUUCGGAGAAAGUGUUUAUAGCCUUGUAACUCUGCAAUCGGAGAUGAUUGAGGUCUGCAGCGUAGAUCCUUCGGGGCUAGAUACAUUUGUGCUAAGUUAUAGCUUUUCAUAGACAACUUGUUGACUAUGUUUAGUCCUGUAGCUUACUCGCAUGCGCUACUUUACCUACGCUUAGGAUGUUGAACUCUAUCACACACAG
rnacentral:rRNA from 1 species